GGGUAUAGCUCAGUGGAAAGAGCACGUGCUUAGCAUGUAUGAGGUCCUGGGUUCAAUUGCCAGUACCUCCA
rnacentral:tRNA from 1 species